rnacentral:lncRNA from 1 species
CCCGUCUUGUGACUGCCAGUUUGUGAGUCUGCCUUCUCCAGCAGGUGGGGUCUUCCUCCAAUCUCACUCCUCUCCGAGCCUCCAUUGGUGGGCCAGCCGCCCCCCAGAGGAUCCCUCACAGCUCCCAGGCCACGGUCAUUACGAUGUUUUCAUGAAGGUGCCUUCCCCACUGGAAUGGAGCUCCGUGGGGUCAGGGCACUUCUCUGCUUUCCUCAUCCCUGCGUCCCCAGCACAGACCAGCCCCUCCACACACACACCCAGGGGGCCUAGCGCCCAGCAGAAACUGCACAUAUGUGUGGAGUGGAUGCACCGGUCAACCCUGGAAUCCGUCCUGACUCCAGGCAGCCUCCACCUUACUUUGUAGGGAAUCGGGGAGAGGGAGAGACAUCUGGAGGCUGCAGCUGCUCCUCAGCUCACCAGACGGCAAAACUAGGCCCUCCUUCCAGGGCCCUCAAGACAUGGCACUGGCGAGACGACUGAAGGUUUCCGAUUGGUGGAUGGGGCUGCCUGAAGAGAGAGUUUCCUCUCCUGGGAAAGUCUGAUAGAGAAUGGCGGGGGGAGUGGAAAAACAGAUGCCAACCCUCGGCUUCACCUCCCAGUGAAGAGAGGAAGACAGAGAAGCAAGCCUGGCCGGCCAGCCCAGUUCCUAGGCAGCAGGGAGGGUAGCCCCAACUGCAGUGGCAAGUAUGAUGGGUAGACACUGGGAGACCUCAGAAGUGGAAGAAGCAGCAGCAGGGGACAGAUGACAGGAGGCAGGAGAGCUGCCCUCACAGCCUGGCUCACAUGUGCACACACACAGCCCUUUAGGUGUAGCGCUUCGUUUAAUCCUUAACUCGAGAUUGGUUCCAUUCACGGAAUGAGAUGGAUGUCUCGCGUGGGUACAAGCAGGAUUUGAACCCAGGUCUGUGGUCCGUCUGACCUCAAGGCUCCCUCUGCCAAUCACCGCCUGCCACAGAAAAAGCGGCGAUAGUUCAGGAAGAGCAAGCCAGGAACAUCUCUCCGUGGAGACUUACACUCAGUUCUUCAAGGACUGGAGCCGGAGCCGGUGAAAUCAUCUUUGUGAUCCCAGGACCUGGCACAGAGAAAGUGCUAAAUGGAUGUUGGAGUGAGUGGCUGCCACCCUGGGCACUGCUCUUCCAGCUUCCUGGACCCCAGCUCAGCCUCCUGCACCCGGCCUUAUAGCCAAGGGGGUGGAAGUUCCCCUGUUGACUCCCAGGAAGGUACAAGGGGACCCAAGGUCUUCAUUCAUCCUUUUGUCCCACAAGCACUCAUCUUGUGUGUACCAGAUGCCCAGGAUACAGAGGAAAUGACAACAAUGAUGAUGUUGAUGGCAACUACUGAUUUUUAUGAAAUAAACUCUACUGAUUACCGGGCACUCCUUUAAGAUCUUUGUAUUUAAUAACUUAUUUAGGGGAGAAAGGAAAGUUUCCUGCCCGCAAAGAGCUCCUGUGCUAGUUGGGGAAAGAGUCGAUUACUCCUUCGUUCACUGAAUAAAGAUUCGUUGAGCACCUACCAUGUGCCAGCCAUGUAGCUGCAGCUAUGAACAAAAUAGACAAAAUCUCGCCUCAAUAAGGAGGGUAGAA